rnacentral:rRNA from 1 species
CCCCCGUGGCAUUGCCUUAGUACGGCGAGUGAGCGGCAAAAGCUCAAAUUUGAAAUCUGGUACCUUCGGUGCCCGAGUUGUAAUUUGGAGAGGGCAACUUUGGGGCCGUUCCUUGUCUAUGUUCCUUGGAACAGGACGUCAUAGAGGGUGAGAAUCCCGUGUGGCGAGGAGUGCGGUUCUUUGUAAAGUGCCUUCGAAGAGUCGAGUUGUUUGGGAAUGCAGCUCUAAGUGGGUGGUAAAUUCCAUCUAAAGCUAAAUAUUGGCGAGAGACCGAUAGCGAACAAGUACAGUGAUGGAAAGAUGAAAAGAACUUUGAAAAGAGAGUGAAAAAGUACGUGAAAUUGUUGAAAGGGAAGGGCAUUUGAUCAGACAUGGUGUUUUGUGCCCUCUGCUCCUUGUGGGUAGGGGAAUCUCGCAUUUCACUGGGCCAGCAUCAGUUUUGGUGGCAGGAUAAAUCCAUAGGAAUGUAGCUUGCCUCGGUAAGUAUUAUAGCCUGUGGGAAUACUGCCAGCUGGGACUGAGGACUGCGACGUAAGUCAAGGAUGCUGGCAUAAUGGUUAUAUGCCGCCCGUCUUGAAACACGGACCA